CCUACGGGAGGCAGCAGUAGGGAAUAUUGCUCAAUGGGGGAAACCCUGAAGCAGCCACGCCGCGUGGAGGAUGAAGGUUUUAGGAUUGUAAACUCCUUUUGUUAGAGAAGAUUAUGACGGUAUCUAACGAAUAAGCACCGGCUAACUCCGUGCCAGCAGCCGCGGUAAUACGGAGGGUGCAAGCGUUACUCGGAAUCACUGGGCGUAAAGAGUGCGUAGGCGGGGUAAUAAGUCAGAUGUGAAAUCCUGUAGCUUAACUACAGAACUGCAUUUGAAACUGUUACUCUGGAGUGUGGGAGAGGUAGGUGGAAUGCGUGGUGUAGGGGUAAAAUGCGUAGAGAUCAAGAGGAAUACUGAUUGCGAAGGCGACCUGCUGGAACAUUACUGACGCUGAUGCACGAAAGCGUGGGGAGCAAACAGGAUUAGAUACCCUUGUAGUC
rnacentral:rRNA from 1 species